rnacentral:rRNA from 1 species
UACGUAGGGUGCGAGCGUUGUCCGGAAUUAUUGGGCGUAAAGAGCUUGUAGGCGGUUUGUCGCGUCUGCUGUGAAAAUCCGGGGCUCAACCCCGGACUUGCAGUGGGUACGGGCAGACUAGAGUGUGGUAGGGGAGACUGGAAUUCCUGGUGUAGCGGUGAAAUGCGCAGAUAUCAGGAGGAACACCGAUGGCGAAGGCGGGUCUCUGGGCCGGUAACUG